GAUGAACGCUGGCGGCGUGCCUAAUACAUGCCAGUCGAGCGAACAGAUGAGGAGCUUGCUCCUCUGACGUUAGCGGCGGACGGGUGAGUAACACGUGGAUAACCUACCUAUAAGACUGGGAUAACUUCGGGAAACCGGAGCUAAUACCGGAUAAUAUAUUGAACCGCAUGGUUCAAUAGUGAAAGACGGUUUUGCUGUCACUUAUAGAUGGAUCCGCGCCGCAUUAGCUAGUUGGUAAGGUAACGGCUUACCAAGGCAACGAUGCGUAGCCGACCUGAGAGGGUGAUCGGCCACACUGGAACUGAGACACGGUCCAGACUCCUACGGGGGGCAGCAGUAGGGAAUCUUCCGCAAUGGGCGAAAGCCUGACGGAGCAACGCCGCGUGAGUGAUGAAGGUCUUCGGAUCGUAAAACUCUGUUAUUAGGGAAGAACAAAUGUGUAAGUAACUAUGCACGUCUUGACGGUACCUAAUCAGAAAGCACGGCUAACUACGUG
rnacentral:rRNA from 1 species